GAUGAACGCUAGCUACAGGCUUAACACAUGCAAGUCGAGGGGCAGCAUGGUCUUAGCUUGCUAAGGCCGAUGGCGACCGGCGCACGGGUGAGUAACACGUAUCCAACCUGCCGUCUACUCUUGGACAGCCUUCUGAAAGGAAGAUUAAUACAAGAUGGCAUCAUGAGUCCGCAUGUUCACAUGAUUAAAGGUAUUCCGGUAGACGAUGGGGAUGCGUUCCAUUAGAUAGUAGGCGGGGUAACGGCCCACCUAGUCUUCGAUGGAUAGGGGUUCUGAGAGGAAGGUCCCCCACAUUGGAACUGAGACACGGUCCAAACUCCUACGGGAGGCAGCAGUGAGGAAUAUUGGUCAAUGGGCGAGAGCCUGAACCAGCCAAGUAGCGUGAAGGAUGACUGCCCUAUGGGUUGUAAACUUCUUUUAUAAAGGAAUAAAGUCGGGUAUGGAUACCCGUUUGCAUGUACUUUAUGAAUAAGGAUCGGCUAACUCCGUGCCAGCAGCCGCGGUAAUACGGAGGAUCCGAGCGUUAUCCGGAUUUAUUGGGUUUAAAGGGAGCGUAGAUGGAUGUUUAAGUCAGUUGUGAAAGUUUGCGGCUCAACCGUAAAAUUGCAGUUGAUACUGGAUAUCUUGAGUGCAGUUGAGGCAGGCGGAAUUCGUGGUGUAGCGGUGAAAUGCUUAGAUAUCACGAAGAACUCCGAUUGCGAAGGCAGCCUGCUAAGCUGCAACUGACAUUGAGGCUCGAAAGUGUGGGUAUCAAACAGGAUUAGAUACCCUGGUAGUCCACACGGUAAACGAUGAAUACUCGCUGUUUGCGAUAUACGGCAAGCGGCCAAGCGAAAGCGUUAAGUAUUCCACCUGGGGAGUACGCCGGCAACGGUGAAACUCAAAGGAAUUGACGGGGGCCCGCACAAGCGGAGGAACAUGUGGUUUAAUUCGAUGAUACGCGAGGAACCUUACCCGGGCUUAAAUUGCAACUGAAUGAUGUGGAGACAUGUCAGCCGCAAGGCAGUUGUGAAGGUGCUGCAUGGUUGUCGUCAGCUCGUGCCGUGAGGUGUCGGCUUAAGUGCCAUAACGAGCGCAACCCUUAUCGAUAGUUACCAUCAGGUUAUGCUGGGGACUCUGUCGAGACUGCCGUCGUAAGAUGUGAGGAAGGUGGGGAUGACGUCAAAUCAGCACGGCCCUUACGUCCGGGGCUACACACGUGUUACAACGGGGGGUACAGAAGGCAGCUACACGGCGACGUGAUGCUAAUCCCGAAAGCCUCUCUCAGUUCGGAUUGGAGUCUGCAACCCGACUCCAUGAAGCUGGAUUCGCUAGUAAUCGCGCAUCAGCCACGGCGCGGUGAAUACGUUCCCGGGCCUUGUACACACCGCCCGUCAAGCCAUGAAAGCCGGGGGUACCUGAAGUGCGUAACCGCAAGGAGCGCCCUAGGGUAAAACUGGUGAUUGGGGCUA
rnacentral:rRNA from 1 species